rnacentral:misc_RNA from 1 species
UCUCCGUUGGUGAACCAGCGGAGGGAUCAUUAUAGAGUUUUCUAAACUCCCAACCCAUGUGAACUUACCAUUGUUGCCUCGGCAGAAGCUGCUCGGCGCGCCUUACCUUGGAACGGCCUACCCUGUAGCGCCUUACCCUGGAACGGCUUACCCUGCAACGGCUGCCGGUGGACUACCAAACUCUUGUUAUUUUAUGGUUAUCUGAGCGUCUUAUUUUAAUAAGUCAAAACUUUCAACAACGGAUCUCUUGGUUCUGGCAUCGAUGAAGAACGCAGC